rnacentral:rRNA from 1 species
GAUGAACGCUGGCGGCGUGCCUAAUACAUGCAAGUCGAGCGAACAGACGAGGAGCUUACUCCUCUGACGUUAGCGGCGGACGGGUGAGUAACACGUGGAUAACCUACCUAUAAGACUGGGAUAACUUCGGGAAACCGGAGCUAAUACCGGAUAACAUGUUGAACCGCAUGGUUCAACAGUGAAAGACGGUCUUGCUGUCACUUAUAGAUGGAUCCGCGUCGCAUUAGCUAGUUGGUAAGGUAACGGCUUACCAAGGCAACGAUGCGUAGCCGACCUGAGAGGGUGAUCGGCCACACUGGAACUGAGACACGGUCCAGACUCCUACGGGAGGCAGCAGUAGGGAAUCUUCCGCAAUGGGCGAAAGCCUGACGGAGCAACGCCGCGUGAGUGAGGAAGGUCUUCGGAUCGUAAAACUCUGUUAUUAGGGAAGAACAAAUGUGUAAGUAACUAUGCACGUCUUGACGGUACCUAAUCAGAAAGCCACGGCUAACUACGUG